GCUACGCAGAGUAGAGUCACUUAUCCGAAGAAGCUAUCGUCAAAGGAAGCAGCCGAGGGCAGCAGGGACAUAAUUUCAAAUCCUAGUCCGCCCUUAAAUCUGGAUAUCAUGUUAUCGACGAAGACCGACAACCAAUUUAAUGGAGCCACUGUGGAGCGGCCCAAUGCGCAAUGUAGAAAAAGAAAUGCAGAGAUCCCGGUGGCCAACACUUACGUCGUUGCAAAGCUGGGAAAUGGAAAUGCAUCAUCGACGGGUACACCAAUAACGUUCUAAGAAUUAUAUUUUAAAAAGAUUAUGCUUUUCGAAUGUAUGAGGACGACCAAAUGGAUGACGAUACACAGCAGCGGCUCCCUACUUAUUGUUUCCUACUUAAGAGGUGCCAGGAUCUCUUACAUGGCUUUGGAUACUUAAAUUCCGCCAAUACUUACACGAGAUUUCCUACUAAAAAAACCUGUUUCAUGUAAGAAUGUUGUAAGUAGUUAAGUAGGCUCAAUAAAGGGUCUAGCCAACUUAAAAUUCA